rnacentral:rRNA from 1 species
UACGUAGGGGGCGAGCGUUGUCCGGAGUUACUGGGCGUAAAGCGCACGUAGGCGGCUUUUUAAGUCAGAGGUGAAAUCCUGGAGCUCAACUCCAGAACUGCCUUUGAUACUGGAGAGCUUGAGUCCGGGAGAGGUGAGUGGAGCUGCGAGUGUAGAGGUGAAAUUCGUAGAUAUUCGCAAGAACACCAGUGGCGAAGGCGGCUCACUGGCCCGGUACUGACGCUGAGGUGCGAAAGCGUGGGGAGCGAACGGG